rnacentral:piRNA from 1 species
UAGCUCAAAAAGCUGCACAGUUUUCCAGAA